rnacentral:rRNA from 1 species
AUAGAAAUUAUUAAUUUUAUUUUAUUUAAAUUGAAAUAUUUUAUAAAAGUAAUUUAAUUAUUUAUUGUUUUAGUAUUUAGUAAAAAUAAAUUUAUAGAUUUAUAGUUUAAUAGUAUUGUAUAAGAAUUUUUUAAGUUUGGAAAAGAAUUGAAUUUUUAGUACCUUUUGUAUCAGGGUUGAUUAAAAUUUUUAAUUUAAUUUUAAAUUCUCAAAAUAUAUAGAGUUAAUUUUAUUAUUAAUUUAUUAUUUUAUAAAUAUUUAGAAAAUAAUUUUAGUUUUGAAAUUUAAUUCGUUAUAUAAUAUUUAGUUAUUUAAGAAUUAAAUUUAAUUUAUAAUUUUAAAAGUUUUAUUUAUAAUAUUAAAUAUAAAUUUAUUUUAAAUUUAAAUUAUUUUAGGGAUAAGCUUGAAAUUUUUAUAUAAUAAUAUAUUUAUUAAAUAAUUUUUAGGAAUAGAAAUUUUUAUUUAAGUUUGUAAAAAUUUAUUAUUUAAGUUUAUUUAAUUUAUUAUAAAUUAUUUAUUUUUAAUAUUAAAUUUUAUAAAUUAAUAAUUUAUUUAUAGUAAUAAUGAUUAAAUUAGUAUAAUUGAAUUAUUUAUAAAUUAUGAAUUCGGCAAAAAUUAUUUUCAUCUGUUUAACAAAAACAUAGUAUUAAGAUUUAUUUAAUAUAGAAUCUGCUCAAUGAUUUAAUUUAAAUAGCUGCAGUAUUUUGACUGUGCAAAGGUAGCAUAAUAAUUAGUCUUUUAAUUGGGGACUGGGAUGAAAGAUUUGAUGAAAAAUAAACUUUAUUAUUUAUAAAAUUAAAAUUUUAUUUUUAAGUAAAAAAGCUUAAAUGUUUUAAAGGGACGAUAAGACCCUAUAAAACUUUAUAAUUAUUAUUAUUAAAAUUUUUGGGUUAUAUAAAUUUUGAUAUUUUUAAUUAUUUUAUUGGGGUGAUAAAAAAAAUUAUUUAACUUUUUUUAAAAUUUUACAUUAAUUAAUGAUAUUUUGAAUUAAAAUUUUUAAUUAUAUGAAAAAGUUACUUUAGGGAUAACAGCGUAAUUAAUUUUUUAAGUUCAAAUUUAAAAAUUAGUUUGCGACCUCGAUGUUGAAUUAAGAUUAGUCUUAGGUGCAAAAUUUUAAGUUAUAGGUCUGUUCGACCUUUAAAUUCUUACAUGAUUUGAGUUCAAACCGGUGUAAGCCAGGUUGGUUUCUAUCUUUUAAAAUUAAAUUUAUUUUAGUACGAAAGGAUUAAAUAAUUAAAUGAUAUUUUUAUUAAUGAAUAAAAUUAAUUGAA